rnacentral:rRNA from 1 species
UACGGAGGGUGCAAGCGUUAUCCGGAUUCACUGGGUUUAAAGGGCGCGUAGGCGGUCUUGUAAGUCCCGCGUGAAAUCCCCCGGCUCAACUGGGGAACUGCGUGGGAAACUGCGAGGCUUGAGUUCGGGAGAGGGAAGCGGAAUUCCGGGUGUAGCGGUGAAAUGCGUAGAUAUCCGGAGGAACACCGGUGGCGAAGGCGGCUUCCUGGACCGACACUGACGCUGAGGCGCGAAAGCUAGGGGAGCAAACAGG